CGGAAGUUUCCUCACCACCGGAAUCCAACACGCCGCUAUUCAUCAGCCAUUUGUAUUAUCACAAGCUUGCGCGAAGAUAUAGCAUAGCGACAUAUCCUUCUACAUUUCAAGGAUUUAGGUCAAGUAUCGUCGCAGGGAGAAGCCUUGCAGACAUGUCUGACUUCAUCGAUAGCGAGGCUGAGGAGUCGGAGGAGGAGUUUGAAGAGAAAGACCUGAAGCCUAAAAAGACCCAGGCGUUUAUGGAUGAUGAGGAAGAGGAGGAAGAGUUAAACACAGAGGACCAGGAUGAGCACGGGAACCUGAUGGGGCUCAUCGACGAUGAUGUGGAUGAAGAUGAGGAAGAGGAAGAGAAGAAAAGCGGAGGAGCAGGCAGCGGCAGCGACUCAGAGGAUGAAGUCAGACACAGACGCAAGAAACGCAACUAUGAUGACUACCUGGAUGAUGAUGAUCUGGACCUCAUUGAGGAGAACUUGGGAGUCAAAGUCAAGAGGAGGAAGAAGAAGUAUGACCGUGUGAAGACUAUGGAUGAUGAUGAAGAUGACGAGAAGGACCAGAUCGCAGACGAGAUCUUCCACAGAGGAGAUGACGAGGACGGAGAGGGGGAGCUGGAGGAGGGAGAGACAGUCGACCCGCCUCUACGUCGCCAUGGUGAACGCCUCGACGAAGAAGAGGAAGAGGAGGGAGAGGAGGAGUCGGAUAUUGAUGACUUCAUCGUGGACGACGAUGGCCAGCCUAUCACCAAGAGGAGAAGCAAGAAGUUCUCAGGAUACACAGAUGCAGCCCUCCAGGAAGCUCAGGAGAUCUUCGGGGGCGACUUUGACUUUGCGGAGUUCGACGCCGACGGUGCUUAUGAACAGGGUGAGGAAGAGGAGGAGGACCAGGAUGAAGAGGGCUGGGACCGGCCCAAGAAGCCAACGAAGAGGAGGGUGGGGAGGAAGAGCAUCUUCGAGCUCUACGAGCCCAGCGAGCUGGAGAGUAGUCACAUGACUGACCAGGACAACGAGAUCCGCUCCACAGACAUGCCAGAGAGGUUCCAGCUGCGCUCCAUCCCAGUGAAGCCUGCUGAGGAUGAUGAGUUGGAGGAAGAGGCAGAGUGGAUCUACAGAAACGCUUUCUCAACCCCCACCAUCUCCAUGCAGGAGAGUACAGAUUACCUGGACAGAGGAGCCACCACUAACUUCAGCAGGAAGGGCCCCAGCACCAUCGCCAAGAUUAAGGAGGCCCUCAACUUCAUGAGGAAUCAGCAUUUUGAGGUUCCAUUCAUCGCGUUCUACAGGAAGGAGUACGUAGAACCAGAGCUCAACAUCAACGACCUGUGGAAGGUCUGGCAGUGGGACGAGAAGUGGUGCCAGCUGAAGAGCAGGAAGCAGAACCUGACACGUCUGUUCCGGAGGAUGCAGGGGUACCAGUAUGAGCAGAUCUCUGCCGACCCCGACAAGCCCCUGGCUGACGGCAUCAGGCCCCUGGACACUGCUGAUAUGGAGAGACUUAAAGAUGUCCAGUCCAUAGAUGAGCUGAGUGACGUGUAUAGUCACUUCCUUCUGUACUAUGGCCGAGACAUCCCCAAGAUGCAGAACGCAGCCAAAGCUGCCAGCAAGAAGAAGAAGAAGAAGAAGAAGAUUGAGGUCAACGAGGAAGGUGAGGAGGAAGAGGUGGAGGAAGAGGAGGAGGUGGAGGAAGAGAAGGGGCCGGACCUGAAGCUGGCAUCUCGUAGAGACAUGUACAGCAUCUGUCAGAGCGCUGGGCUCGAUGGCCUGGCUAAGAAGUUUGGUCUGACUCCAGAGCAGUUUGGAGAGAAUCUGAGAGACAGCUACCAGCGUCACGAGACAGAGCAGUUCCCUGCCGAGCCUGUGGAGUUGGCUAAAGACUACGUCUGCAGCCAGUUUAACAGCCCUGAGGUGGUGUUGGAGGGGACCCGUUAUAUGGUUGCGAUGCAGAUUGCCAGGGAGCCUCUGGUCAGACACGUCCUCAGACAGACGUUCCAGGAGAGAGCCAAGAUCAACAUCAAGCCCACCAAGAAGGGAAAGAAGGACAUGGACGAGGCCCACUUUGGCUACUCCUUCAAGUACCUGAAGAACAAGCCAGUGAAGGAACUGAACGGAGACCAGUUCUUAAAGAUGUGCCAGGCUGAGGAGGAGGGGCUUCUCACCAUAGACAUCUGCAUCGACCUCCUGGGGGUCAAAGGGGUUGCAGGUGACCAGACAUACUUUGAUGAGAUCAAGCAGUUUUACUACAGAGAUGAGUUCAGUCACCAGGUGCAGGAGUGGAACAGACAGAGGACCCUGGCCAUCGAACGCUCCCUCACACAGUUCCUCUACCCUCAGAUGGCCAAGGAACUCAAGAACAAACUCAUCGCGGAGGCCAAGGAAAACAUCAUCAAGUCAUGUUGCAGGAGGCUGUAUAACUGGCUGAAGGUGGCUCCUUACAGACCAGACCAGCAGGCGGAGGAGGAGGAUGAUGAUCUGAUGGAUGAGAGUCAAGGAAAAGGCAUCAGAGUCCUGGGAGUGGCCUUCGCAGACAGCAGAGACACGCCAGUGUUCUGUUCACUGAUCAACGGAGAGGGAGAGGUCGUGGACUUCCUCCGUCUGCCCUACUUCCUGAAGAGGAGGAACGCAUGGAAGGAGGACGAGAGAGACAAAAAGCUCCAGGACAUUGAGAACCUGAAGAAGUUCCUGACCAGUAAGAAGCCUCACGUGGUGGCUGUUGCCGGGGAGAAUAGGGACGCCCACAUGAUAAUGGAGGACAUUAAGAGGACAGUGAGUGAGUUGGAGCAGGAGUCUUCUCUGCCUGCUGUGGGAGUGGAGCUGGUAGACAACGAACUGGCCGUGCUCUAUAUGAACAGUACCAAAUCUCAGACUGAGUUCCGUGACUACCCUCCCCUGCUGCGCCAGGCUGUGUCAGUAGCCAGGAAGAUUCAGGAUCCUCUAGUGGAGUACGCUCAGGUCUGCAGCUCCGACGAAGACAUCCUCUGCCUCAAACUACACCCUCUACAGGAGCAUGUAGUUAAGGAGGACCUGCUGAGUGCUCUGUACUGUGAGUUUAUAAACCGGGUCAACGAGGUGGGGGUGGAUGUGAACAGAGCCAUCUCUCACCCCUACACACAGAGCCUGGUUCAGUUCGUCUGUGGCCUCGGACUCAGGAAGGGAUCGCACCUGCUCAAGAUCCUAAAGCAGAACAACACUCGUCUGGAGAACAGGACUCAGCUGGUCACUAUGUGUCACAUGGGCCCCAAGGUCUUCAUCAACUGUGCUGGCUUCAUCAAGAUAGACACCGCCUCUCUCGGAGACAGUACUGACUCAUACAUCGAGGUUCUGGAUGGGUCCAGGGUGCACCCGGAGACAUAUGAGUGGGCCAGAAAGAUGGCGGUGGACGCUCUGGAAUACGACGAGUCAGCGGAGGACGCCAACCCGGCCGGAGCGCUGGAGGAAAUCCUGGAAAACCCGGAGCGCCUCAAAGACCUGGACCUGGAUGCGUUUGCUGAGGAGCUGGAGAGACAGGGUUAUGGUAACAAGGGCAUCACCCUGUAUGAUAUCCGUGCUGAGUUGAGCUGCAGGUAUAAGGACUUGAGAGUUCCCUACAGAGCUCCUAACACCGAGGAGGUGUUUAACCUGCUUACCAAGGAGACACCAGAGACCUUCUAUAUAGGUAAGCUGAUCACCAGUGUUGUGACCGGUAUAGCUCACCGGCGCCCCCAGGGGGAGAGUUAUGACCAGGCCAUUAGGAACGACGCUACAGGGCUGUGGCAGUGCCCCUUCUGUCAACAGGACAACUUCCCUGAACUCAGCGAGGUGUGGAACCAUUUUGACAGUGGUUCGUGUCCUGGCCAGGCUAUAGGUGUGAGGGCUCGGAUGGACAACGGUGUCCAGGGCUUCAUCCCCACCAAGUUCCUCAGUGACAAGGUGGUCAAACACCCCGAGGAGAGGGUGAAGGUGGGUAUGACGGUACACUGUCGCAUCAUGAAGAUUGACAUUGAGAAGUUCAACGUGGACCUGACAUGUCGUACGUCUGACCUGAUGGAUAAAAACAACGAGUGGAAGCUCCCUAAAGACAGUUACUACGACUUUGACACGGAGACAGAGGACACCAAGACCGAGGAGGAACGCAAGAAGAAACAGCAGAGAACCACCUAUAUAAAACGUGUGAUUGCACACCCAUCCUUCCACAACAUCAACUUCAAGCAGGCUGAGAAGAUGAUGGAGUCCAUGGACCAGGGAGAUGUUGUUAUCAGGCCCAGCAGCAAGGGAGAGAACCACCUUACUGUCACCUGGAAGGUAGCUGAUGGCAUCUAUCAGCAUGUUGAUGUGAGAGAGGAGGGCAAGGAGAACGCCUUCAGCCUGGGACACACACUCUGGAUCAACACUGAGGAGUUUGAGGAUCUUGAUGAGAUCACAGCUCGUUAUAUUCAGCCAAUGGCAGCGUUCGCUCGUGACCUGCUGGGACACAAGUACUUCCAGGACUGUAACGGAGGGGACAGGAAGAAAAUGGAGGAGUUGUUGAUCAGGUCUAAGAAGGAGAAGCCUACGUUCAUACCCUACUUUGUCUCAGCGUGUAAAGACCUGCCAGGGAAGUUCAUACUGGGAUACCAGCCUCGUGGCAAACCACGUGUUGAGUAUGUGACCAUCUCUCCUGACGGCUUCCGGUACCGGUCCCAGAUGUUCCCCACCGUUAACGGACUGUUCCGCUGGUUCAAAGACCACUUCCAGGAACCGGUACCAGGCAUCACCCCCAGCAGUAGCAGUCGAACACGGACACCUGCCUCUGUCAACGCUACACCAGCUAACAUCAACAUCGCAGACCUGACGCGAGCGGUCAGCGCUCUCCCACGCAACAUGACCUCUCAGAUGUUCAGUGCCAUUGCCGCGGUGACGGGGCAGGGGCAGGGCCAGAACGCGAACACUACGCCUGCCCAGUGGAACUCCAGCCAAUACGGUUACACCGGGGGCAGCAGUGGGGGCGGGGGAGGCAGCUCCUCAGCCUAUCACGUGUUUGCGACGCCCCAACAGCCGAUGGCGACACCCAUGAUGACCCCCAGCUACUCCUACACCACCCCCAGCCAGCAGACCAUGGGUACCCCGCAGUACCCCUCCACCCCCCAGUCCUCCCACUCCCAUGGACACACACAGAGCAACCAGGGCCACAGCAGCCACCAGGGACCCUCGUCCAACACUCCCUCAUCCUCCUCCAGAGGACGCACUCCGCAGCAGCAGCCUAAGUCGAGCGGCAGCACGGCGGUGGACUGGGGCAAGGUAGCGGAGCAGUGGCUCCAGGAGAAGGAGGCGGAGAGGAAGAAGCAGAAGACCCCCAGAAUGACCCCGCGACCUUCCCCCAGCCCCAUGAUCCAGAGCACGCCUAUGUCAAUCGCUGGAGACGCCACGCCCCUUCUGGACGAGAUGGACCGAUAGGAGAGGCCGGGGGGGGCGACUAUACCCCCCUCCUCCCCAAAUAUACCCCCCUUACUCUCAUCAACUCAUCCUUCCAUCCAUCCGCCUACUUGCAUGCCCCCUCAGACCAGUCACAUACCAUUCAGAUUGCCCUCUCCUCCCAGCCUACUAAACUAACCCUGCUC